CUCAUUCCUUCUCACCACCCUAUUCUUCACCUCCAGCUAUGCAGCAACCUUCAACAUCCAAAACCGUUGCUCCUACACAGUUUGGGCGGCGGCAAUCCCAGGCGGGGGCAUGCGGCUUGGCUCAGGCCAAUCCUGGAGCCUCGAUGUGAAGGCCGCCACCACCGGAAGCCGUGUUUGGGGCCGUACCGACUGCAGCUUCGAUGCGUCAGGGAAUGGGAAGUGUGAGACCGGGGACUGUGGUGGCCGCCUCCAAUGCAAGGCCUAUGGUACACCCCCUAACACCUUAGCCGAAUUCGCACUUAACCAAUACAGCAACUUGGACUUCUUUGAUAUAUCUUUGGUUGAUGGAUUUAAUGUGCCUAUAGCCUUUAAUCCUACUUCCAAUGGGUGCACCCGUGGCAUCAGUUGCACCGCCGACAUCGUGGGAGAGUGCCCCGCUGCGCUAAAGACUACCGGUGGUUGCAACAACCCAUGCACCGUUUUCAAGACCGAUGAAUAUUGUUGCAAUUCUGGGAGCUGUAAUGCUACAGAUUUCUCAAGGUUUUUCAAGACUAGGUGCCCUGAUGCUUAUAGCUACCCUAAGGACGAUCAGACAAGCACCUUCACAUGCCCUGGCGGUACCAAUUAUGAAGUUAUCUUCUGCCCAUCAGCAGUGCCACAAACAUGUGUUUUUAUUAUAAAUUAAUUUGUGGUAAAAAAAACAUUUUGUGUUACAAGAUUUUUUUUCCACAAAAAAAUAUUUCCGACCAGUUUGUUGCUACAAAUUCGUAAACAAUUAUUUUUAAUCACAAAAUUUAAUUUUAUAAUAAAAUAAAUAAUUUUUUCAUAAAAUAAAUUUUAUAACAAAAUAUCAAUAUUCACCAUUAAAUAAAAUUUAUGAUAAAAUGUCAUUUUUCACCGUAAAAUAAAAUUUGUGACAACACAUCGUUUUUCAUGAAAAUAAUUACGAUAAUAUGCGACUUUUUUGUUAUAAAAAAAUUCAUGAUAAAAAAUUACCCUUCUACCAAAAAACAUUAAUUGUAACGGUCCAAACCACUGGUCUUGACAAGGAAAUAUGACAUACAGUCAAGGAGGGUUUGCUUAAAAGUCAUUAUCCUACUUGGAAACUACCUCCCUUAUUGGGGUACAUGGCAUUUUUUUAAUAAUAUUUGACUCACUUUUCCGGGAAACCUAGUUGUAGAAGUCCAAACAGGUUGCUUUUCAGGGGAAUUCACGGCAUAAAUAGAAAAGAAAGUUGCCAGAAAUGCCCUAACUGAUUAAAAUCAUUACCUUUAAUUGCAGAGAAUUAUGUCUAUCAAUUAAAUAAAUUAUAAAUAUAUGUUUGAAUUGAUUUUUAAGAAAUUGAAUGGUUUUUUAAGUUCAAUAAGAAUUUUAAUAUUGAUUUAACUAAUUUUAUUUAAAAAGCUUAUGAUUUAAAAAAUAGUUUUAUAUGAUUUAGAUAAGAAAUUAUUUAAUAUUUAAUAUAAGUUUUAUAAUACUAAUAUUAUGUAUUAAAAAUUAUGAUUUUGGUUGGACUCUCAACAUUUAGUUAAAUCUAAAAGUAGAAAACUAUUUCAAACAAAGUCAUGUUUUCUAUUUCAUUAUUAAUUAAUAUAUAUUUUUUUUAAUUCGGAUGUGAAAAGGUGUUUCAAAGUUUAAGAUUGUCUAAUAUUUUAAAUCAAAAUCUCAAUACUUAAAUUAAAGAAAAAUUUAGAUCGUAUUUAUUUGUUUAAUUGAAUAGAAAAAAUUAAAAUAUUUAAUUUUUUUAAUUUUAAUUAAAAGUAAUCUAUUUAUAUUAAUCAAUAUAACGAAAUCGAAUAUAUUGAUAAUAAAUUUACUUUAAAUAUCUUAAUUGAUAUUAAUAUAUUACUUGAACUGAAAAAACUAAAAAGCAAAAAAUAAACUCCACACUUAAAAAGAUUCUGGGCCAUGGAUACAGAAGCCCAAAAGAUUUAUUGAUGGGGGCAGUGGGCCUGGCCUGCCGUGUGCAGCUGCAUUUGUUUGACUUGUCCUCAAGCCUAGUCAACGUCUCCGUUCAAUGAAGCUGAUGUAUCGAAAAAUCCCAAAAAGCCUCAUUUUUCCCGCCAAACGCGUAAACCCCAAAAUGAGUUUCUUCUGCAACUGCAGCAAUCUCUCUACUUCCUUCUUCCUCCUCAUCUUCAUCAAUGCAACCAUUUUCGAAAUCCGAAACAGCUGCCCCUAUACCGUCUGGGCAGCCGCCUUACCCGGCGGCGGAAGGUAACUCGACCAAGGCCAGACCCGGAACCUUUCAGUGAGCUCCAACACAACCCAAGGCCACAUCUGGGGCAGAACCAAGUGCAGUUUCGAUGAAGCCGGAAGGGGGAACUGCGAGUCCGGUGGAUGUGGAGGCCUCCUUGAAUGCCAAGAAUAUGGUUCACCGCCCAACACCAUUGCCGAGUACGCCAUAAACCAAUUCAACAAAACUGAUUUCUUCGAUAUUUCUCUGGUGGUUGGAUUCAACCUUCCAAUGGAGUUUAGCCCAACUUCUGAUGGGUGCAAACGUGGGGUCAAGCGUACGUGCGACAUUAACGGGCCGUGCCCAAACGAGUUGAGGGACCCGGGUGGGUGUAACAACCCAUGUACCGUUUUCAACAAUACUCAGUACUGUUGCAAUACCGGGAGCUGUUAGCCUACACCUUCAUGUUUUUCAAGGCUAGCUGCCCAGAUGUAUACAGUUACCCUUUGGGAGAUGAUUCAAUCGGUACGUUUACCUGCGCCGCAUGCACUAACUAUCGUAUAGUCUUCUCCGAGUUUUGGGGUAGCCCAAAGUUUAAACCUUUUUGCAAAACUUACAAUCAAACUCGUCCUUUUUAUUAUCACCUAGAGUCAUAUUAUGUUUUUUUUUUCAAAAUUUAAGUUGAAAAUUUUAUUUUUGAAUUGAAGCCAUAAUUAAUAACCAAGACUUCAUUUUGAACGGAAACCUCAUUUGAUAAGUGAGACUUAGUUUUUUAAUUAAAACCUCAUUUUGACAAUUAAAACUUCAUUUAUUAAACUAAAACCUUAAUUGUGACUUUAGUUAUUUUUUUUACUUUAAAAUUUAAUUAAAAAUAUUAAAUUUCAAAUUAUUAUUGAAAUUAAAAAUAUUUACUUUAAUAAUAAAAAAUUAUAUAUUUAAGUUUAAGGAUUCAACAUUAUUCUAAUAAAGAUAAAUUGAUAAAUAAAAUAAAUAAAUGAAUAAUUUUAUUUAUCAAUAAAUUAAUAAUUUUAAAAUAAUAAAGUUAUAUAAUAUAUAAAUAAAAUAUAAAAUUAUAUAAUUUAUUAAUUUAAGUUAUAUUACAAAUACUAUAUGUUACCGGGCAACUAAAAAGGAAGAAAGUUAUGUAUAGGUUCUCUCUUUGUAAAGACACGUAAGAUUAUAUAAUUUUCUUUUUUACUAUAUGAAUAUUUAGUAAACAAUUUUUGUGACAUAGAUGAAACUACUAAAACUUAUAUUUUGUAGUAAACAUUUUUUAAUUAAUUUUAUUAGCUAAUUUUAAAAUGUAUCUUCAAGGCAUAUAUGUUGUGGGUAUAAAUAAUAAUUUUUUUUUAAUGAAAAAUUAUAAACAUAUACUUUAAAAUAAUAAUAAAAUCUAUAUAUAAAAGCUUAAGAAUAUACUAUUAUUUUAAUAAAGAUAAAUUUGUGAAAAUACAAAUAAAUUAAUAUCUUAAAAAUAAAACAAAUUAAAUAUCUUAAAUUAAUAAAUUAUAUAAUUUUAUAUCUUAUUAUAUUUAUCAAUUUAUCUUUAAACCUAAGUCCUAAGUCCAAGGUUUAAAUAUUUUAUUAUAUUUAUUAAUUUAUCUUUAUUGAAGUAAUACUAGAUUUUUAAGUUUAAACAUAUAAUUAAUUUAUUAUUAAAGUAUAUAUUUUUAAUUUCAACAAUAAUUUAUAAUUUAAUAUUUUAAUUAAAUUUUAAAGUAAAAAAAUAAUUAAUUGAAGCUUCAAUUGAAAAUUAAGACUUUAAUAAAAAAAUGAAGUCUCAAUUAUCAAUUGUGAAUUCAAUUUAAAAAUGAGGUAUGAUUUGACAAUUAAGGUUUCAGUUUAUAAAUGAAACCUUAAUUGUCAAUUGUGGUUUUAGUUCAAAAAUAAACCCUCAAUUGAUAAUUGAGGUUUUACUUAAAUUUUAAAAUAUAUAUAUAUUAUGAUACGACUCUUAUGUGACAAUAAAGGACUAGUUUGAACAUAAAUUUUAUAAAAAUGUUAAAUCUUACAUUUCUUUUUAUACAAGCUUAUUUAUUUUUGUUUCUUAAAAAAAAAAAAAUUAUCAGCUUCCCUUGAUAAGAUUUGAGGAAAAACAAAGAUGAGGUAGGAUUGGCUCUUCCAUGCCUCUAAGUCGAGCACCAUCUUUUAGAUUUUAACAAAGCUUAUUGCUAAAAUAUUUUCAUUUAGGGUCAUUAACUUUAACUUAGGGUUCAUCGAGGAACUUUUUCAGAAAUAAUUCUUAAAAAGUAAUUCUCAAGAAUAACUUUUAAAAAUAAUAUUUUAAUAUUUUUAAAAUAAAAAGUUUUGAAGAGCUUAGAAUAUUGUCAAUUUUUUUUUAUAUUUUUAAAUAUUUCUUAAAAAUAAUUCCUAUUUAUAAUACCUUAUUUUAAGACAUUCUUCGUGUUUAUUCAAUAAUUCCUAAAAAGUAAUUAAAAUAUAAUAUAUGUAAAAAAAAUCACUUUUCAUAGUUUUAGUUUUAAAUUUAUAAUUAACAAUCGAAUGUGUUUUUAUACUUUUUUUAUUCUAAAAACCAAAAAGAUAAAUCCUUAAUAGAAAUUUUCAAACAUUGUUUUAGUGUCCCACCCCAAGUCCACCUUCGCUCUAUAUAAACUCCUAGCCAUUUCCUCACGGACCACCCCAAACCAUAAAGCCCAUCUUCCUGAAAAAAUGGGCCUCUUCAAAACCCCUUUAAUUUCCUCAUUCCUUCUCACCACCCUAUUCUUCGCCUCCUGCCACGCAGCCACGCUGAUCAACAUCCAAAACCAUUGCUCCUACACAGUUUGGGCGGCGGCGGUACCAGGUGGGGGCAGGCAGCUUGGUCCGGGCCAAUCCUGGAGCCUCGAUGCGAACCCUGGCACAGCCCGUGUGUGGGCACGUACCAACUGCACCUUUGAUGGGUCAGGGAACGGGACGUGUGAGACCCGAGAUUGUGGUGGCCGCCUCCAAUGCCAAGCCUAUGGUACACCCCCUAACACCUUGGCCGAAUUCGCACUUAACCAAUUCAACAACAUGGACUUCUUCGAUAUAUCUUUGGUUGAUGGAUUUAAUGUGCCCAUGGCUCUUAAUUCUACUUCCAAUGGGUGCACCCGUGGCAUCCAAUGCAGCGCCGACAUAGUCGGACAGUGCCCUGAUGAGCUCCGAGCUCCCGGUGGUUGCAACAAUCCAUGCACUGUUUUCAGGACCGAUGAAUAUUGUUGUUAUUCUGGGAACUGUGGCCCUACAACUUACUCCAAGUUUUUCAAGGAUAGGUGUCCGGUGGCUUAUAGCAACCCUAAUGAUGAUCAAACAAGCACCUUUACAUGCCCUGGUGGUACUAACUAUGAUGUUAUCUUCUGCCCAUGAUGCCUCUACUAGUCCUGUUAGACGAUUUGGUACCAUCUUGGGAUCCAAAUGUCUAGAAGAAUAAAUUUGAGCACAUGUCCAUGUCCAUAGUCAUGUAAUAAGAUUUCUACCAUCAUAGAAAUCGAAUGAUUUUCAGAGGGGUUAGAAGCUUUGAAUAAUGUUUAAAUGUGCUUUACUUAUAAAAGUUUAGAACUAAUUCUUCAUAAAAAUAAUUUUGUCCAAGUGUUAUUGUUUAAGAGUUUAUUUGAUAUUGAAUUAUGAAAGUAUUUUGAAUUAUUUUAACAUUUAAAAAAUAAUUUUUCUUUAAAUAUUAAAAAAUUUAAAAAUGCUUCUUAUAAUUAUUAUCAAAUAAACUCUAAAUACUAUAUAUUAAAAACAUAAUUACUAGAAUGACCUCUAAAUGAAUUCAUAUUUUAAGUACACCGAGAAUGAUAGAAUUCAGUAAUGGUGUUUUAAAUUAAAUUGGUAAAUAUUUUGGGAUUUUCCAUUUGAAUAAUUUUUAGAAGUGAAUAAAUUAUUUUUCAGCUCUAACAUAAACAAAUCCUGUUAUUGUGGUGUGGAAAAACCUUUGCUCAAGAGUCAAGAGCGGUGGUGGAGGCUUGAGUUACGUACCCAAGUUGAAUUUUUGUAAAAGGAUGUGGAGGAGUAGAGUACAAGGAAAAUUGAUUUGCGGACAAGACCAGUUAGUUAGUGAAGCUUGAUUAAAGUCGAAGUUUUGGUGUUUUCUCCCAAGACUUCCUUUGUAGUGGUCCAAAAAAUUGGUAAGGAAAUAUGACAGACAUCGAAAGAGGAUUUGGCUAAAAGUCAAUAACUAUUUGGAGCUAUGUUCCCUUCUCGGGGCGAUGGCGUUUGCUAGUAAUCUUUGACUCGCUCUUCCCCGUAGCUUCCAUAGCAGUCCAAACCGGUUGCUUGUUCAAGGAAAACACCGUAUAAAUAAGAGGGAAGUGGCUAAAAGUCUAACUAAUUAAAAUCGUAGUCAUUUAUUGUGUGGAAUAGCGGGACACAUACGUAUUGAAGUUGAACUUGUCCAUCAAUUAAAUCUAAUACAAUUUUCUUUUUCAAUCCAACUAUUACGUAAUAAAUUUUAAAUUUCAAAUAUAUUUGCUUUUAAAAUUUACUCAAACCAAUUUAAUAACUUACAAAUAACUAAUUCAAUAACUUGGACUUCUUUAAUAUAGUAUUGUCCAAGCAUAUAUUUGAUAUGUCUUUAAUUUAUUUUUAAUUGUGCUUCUAAGCUACGUUUGGUUCUCGAAAAAUUUGAGAGAAAAUUUAAAAGAAAAAAAUUACAGAUGAAAAAAAAUAAAAAAUAGUUUAAAUAUAAUAAAUUAUAUUUGAUUUGAUUUUCUAUUUUUUUUUAUAGUGAAACAAAAUAUGAGAAAACCAUUUUUAUUAAUAUUUUUUUUCUUUAGAACACUUUCCAACAUAACUUACCAUUUAUUUUUUUGGUCAUGCAAAAGUUGAUGUAAAAAAUAUAGUUAGUCUCUCUUAUAUCAUUCAUUUGAAAUUGAGUAGAUUAAUGGUGUUUGUUUUUUUGGUUUUUUACUUAAAGCAAUUUAGUUUUAGAAUUUAGGUUGUUUGUUUUUCUACUUUUUCAUGACUUAUUAUAAACUUUUUACUAAAUAGAAAAAGUCAAAAUAUGUAGCUUUUUCUAAGUAGGAAAAAUAACAUAUUGAUUUUUUUUACUUUUUAAUACUUAAUAGAAAUAAAAUACUACAAAAACAAAUAACCUAAUAUUUAACACUAUUAAGCAUUAAGGUUCUAUUUAGAAUUAAGUAAAAAAACAAACAUCAUCUUCACACUAAGUAAUAACCCUAUAUUAGUCCUAAUAAGUAAUAAAAUUCCUCUACUAAUACAUGGUAUGGAUAAAAUAUUUACUAAAUUAACAACAUGAAUGUAAGUAAUUUAGAUAUUAGUAGGAUAUAUUUUUGUCUUAAUUAUUUAAAAAUAUAAACAUAUUUAUAUUAGGUUCUUGCUUUUUAUAAAUAUUAAUUCAACAUUUUUAGUAAUUUUUUUUUUAAAUUUAAUAAUUACAUAACCAAAAGUAAAAAAAAAAAAAAAUCAUUUUAUGAUGAUUUUUUGUCAAUUUUCAAUGAUUUCUUUCUAGUUCUUUGUUUUCAGUAGGUUAUUGAGUUAAUAAAGAAAUAAUGAAAUAUAAUGUGAUUGGGUUUUGGGUAUUUUUUUUUUUUAUAAUUUGUUUAAAAAAAAUUAGAUAAUAAAAAUAUCAUAUAUAUAUAUUUUGUUAUAAAAUUUUUAAAAGGAAAAAAAUUGUUGCUAAAUAUGAUUUUCAAAAACAUUUAUCACAAUUUUAAUUCAAAAAAUUGAAAAAUAAAAGUGUAAUGGAAGAUACUACUAAUGUAGUACAAGCAAUAAAUAUUUUUACCCUUAGUUGUGAAAAAUAUAGAGGAAAGAAAUUUUAUGAUGUCUGUUUCUAGAAGGUUGUAGGAAACCUGUUUGCCACGCCAGCCUAUUAAUAUUUUCUUCUUCGAAAAUUAAGAAAUUAUGGCAUUUUUUUAAAAAAAAAUUAUGCUUAAAAAUAGUUUUUUAUUUAGAAUAUAAAACUUAAAUUUAAAGAAAUUGAGAAUAUAUUCUAAAACUGAAUUAUCUUUUAGAAUAAAUUUAAGGGUUUUUUUUUAUUAUGUUCUAUUAAAUAAUAAUUAUUAAAAAUAUGAAAAUUAUUUUUUUUUAAAAAUAUAUUAUAUAUGUGUAUGUCAACUUUAAGAAAAAUAAAUAAAUAAAUAAAUAUAUAUAUAUAUAUAUAUAUAUAUAUUUUAUGUCUGAGAUUUUAAACAAAAUUUUAUUUAUAAAAAUAAUUAAAAAUUAUGUUUUGCCUAACAUGCCUAUGUUCUAGUCGUCUACGGAGUUGGUUCGGGAUGGCAGUGGAAAAUAUACUUUAGAUAUUUUCUCUUCUCUAUAGUCAGAUGCUUCUGCGUAUUUUAAAUGGUAAAGACCAAAACUCAAUUAUGAUAUUAUCGAAAAUAGACCCAGUCCAAAGUGGUCAUUCAUACUGGCAUAGUUCCAGGAAGGUGAUCAACAUCAGGGCUGUCUCAUUCAAGAAAGGAAAUUUGCACCCACGUUUUCUAGAUACAUUCCUACUGUUCUGAUGAUUCGGUAUGCACGAAUUUAUGCAAAGGUUAGGCAGAUUUCUGAAAAUAAUAAAAAUGGUAAUGAAGUGGACCCUUCUCUCUGUAAAAUAUUUUAAAUAAAAAAUACUUAUUUUUCUAAAAAUAAGUAUUUUCAAUAUGUAAUAUAUGUUUUAAAAAAAAAAAUUAAUUUACAAGCUUAUUUAUUUUUAUUUCUUAAAAAUAUUAUCGGCUUUUGUUGAUAAGAUUUGAGGAAAGAAAAAGGGCCACCUCACAUCGACUCUUCCAUGCCCGCAGGCCCCAACGAAGUCGACCACAAAGAUGACGCUAUCUUUUGGAAUUUUUACAGGGAGGUUUUUUCACAUACACACCAACCCAAGCCCACCUUCACCCUAUAAAAACCCCCACCCGGUUCCUCACAGAUCACCCCACUCCAACCAUCAAGCCUAUAUAUCUUCCGAAACUCAACAAUGGGCCUCUGCAAAAUCCUCUCCAUUUCCUCAUUCCUUCUCACCACCCUAUUCUUCACCUCCAGCUAUGCAGCUACGUUCAACAUCCAAAACCAUUGCUCCUACACGGUUUGGGCUGCGGCAGUCCCAGGCGGGGGCAUGCAGCUUGGCUCAGGCCAAUCCUGGAGCCUCAAUGUGAAUGCCGGCACCACUGGAGGCCGUGUUUGGGCCCGUACCAACUGCAACUUCGAUGCGUCAGGGAAUGGGAAGUGUGAGACCGGGGACUGUGGUGGCCUCCUCCAAUGCACGGCCUAUGGUACACCCCCUAACACCUUAGCCGAAUUCGCACUUAACCAAUACAGCAACUUGGACUUCUUUGAUAUAUCUUUGGUUGAUGGAUUUAAUGUUGCUAUGGCCUUUAAUCCUACUUCCAAUGGGUGCACCCGUGGCAUCAGUUGCACCGCCGACAUCGUGGGAGAGUGCCCCGCUGCGCUAAAGACUACCGGUGGUUGCAACAACCCAUGCACCGUUUUCAAGACCGAUGAAUAUUGUUGCAAUUCUGGGAGCUGUAAUGCUACAACUUACUCCGAGUUUUUCAAGACUAGGUGCCCUGAUGCUUAUAGCUACCCUAAGGACGAUCAGACAAGCACCUUCACAUGCCCUUCCGGGACCAAUUAUGAAGUUAUCUUCUGCCCAUAAAUCUAUUAUUUAAAUCAUAUGCUAGUAUGCCUCUACUGGUCUCAACUAUUAGGAGGCAAUGGUAUCCACCUUGGGUUCCAAAAGCCUAGAGGAAUAAAGUUGAGCCCAUAUUCGUGGUCAUGUAUUAAGAUUUCUACACUAGUCGAAGCAAUGGAUGCCUUUUUUUAUAUAGAUAUAUGCUAUCUUCUUCUUCUAAUCUCUGUGGUCCCUUCCAAGUAACAUUUCAUAUAGAUAUAUGAAUUUUAAUGAUUAUUCUUCUUCAGAAUUCUUUUUUUUUUUUUUUUUGAAAAUGAAAUUAAGCUUAACAUGAACAAAAUUCUGCUAUCAUGGUACGGAGAAAUCUUUGCUUGAGAGCGGUGGUUGAGGAUUGAGUCACCUACCCAAGUCAAAUUUUUGUAACAAUUAGAUGUUCAUCUUUAGAGUACUACAAGGAAAAUUGAUGUGAGGAUAAAGACCAGUUAACGAAGCUUGACUGACGUCAAAAUUUUAUUUUAUUUCCUUUUCUCUAAUCCUACCUUGUAGCGGUCCAAAUUAAUUGUCUUGACAAGGAAAUAUAACACAUAGCCAAGGAGGAUUUGCCUAAAAGCCAUCAUCCUGUUUGAAAACUACCUCCCUUAUUGUGCACAUGACACUUUUUCUAAGGGGAAUAAUCCAACCAUACAUUGGACCAAUAAAAUAAGUAUUUUUGGGAUUUUAUUUUUACCUUCACAAAUUGAGUGCGUAAAGUGCGGGGGAAAAAAACUCAUUCAUGCAUUUCAAUAACACUUGUGAAUUUAUUCCAAAAUUACAUUCAAAGUACACCUAUCAUUUUUUUUUACAUCAACUCUCUCACACCUCCAUUUCACCCGCCAUGUUCAUACGGUUUUUUUAUCUCUCACCAACAUAUUCAUAGUCUCAUGUAUUUUCUUAUAAAACAUCUUUAAUUUCAAUUUUUUUUUCACUCUCUAAUCUCUCCAUAUUUAUUGAUUUUAAUCAUUUUUUAGACACAUUAAACUUAAAAUGAUAAUAUAUAAUAAAUAAUUAAUAAUAAAAAAUUAAAUAAAAACAUAAUAUUUAAUGAACAAAAAUUAAAAUAUUAUCUCACAAAUAAUAUACUUGAUAAUUUUAAAUAUUAAUUAUAAUAAUGUUUAAGAUUUAAAUUUAAAAAUUAUGUUUUUAUUAUUUAGAGGCUUAUGAUAUAAUUUUUUUUAUAUUAAUACUAAAUAAAAGAUUUAUUGAUUUUGUAAAUCUUAUCAUACGUAAAAGUAAAAAAUAUCUUUGUAAUAUUAUUUUAUUAUUUUUAUUUUGAUAUAAAAUUUUUCAUUUGUAAUAUUAUUUUAUUAUUUUUAUUUUGAUAUAAAAUUUUUCAUAUCAAAAUCACAAUAAGUGAUAGUAGUUUUUUUUUUGUUAUGGUUUUAAUUGUGGUUUUAACUUUUUACUUGGUUAAAUUUUUUAAUUUUUUAUCAAGAUAAAAUAUAAAAGAAAAUAUGUUUUUUCAUAAAAAAAAAAUACAUUGUUUUAGGGAAAUUGAGAUACUUAUCUCUUUUAUCAUGAUGCAUAUACUCCUUUUGGAAUUCUCGGGAAGUGUUUUUAAAUUCUCUCCCACCUCGAAAAAGACUUUGAAACUUCAAGUAAGAAAAAUAAAUACAUCCUUUAAGAAAAAUGGAUUUUCUUUGAAUUGGUUGCCUCACAAUAUUUUAAAUGAUAAAGACUAAAAUUCAAUUAUGAUAUUAUCGAAAAUAGUCCCAAUCUAACGACUAGUCAAGAUAUUUGAAGUGGCCAAUCGUAUUGGAAGAAUUCCAGGAAGGUGCUCAACAGGGUUGUCUCAUUCAAAUAAGGAAAUUUGAAAUAAAUUUUCUCAAUACCAUGCACCCACGUUUUCUAGAUACAUUCCUACUGUUCUCAGAAUUGAGUGCUCAUGAAUUUACAUAGAAGUUAGGCAGAUUUCUGGAAAUAAUAAAAAUGAUAAUCACGUAGAACCUUGUCUCUGUAAAUUAUUUUAAAUAAAAAAUACUUAUUUUUCUAAAAAUAAGUAUUUUCAAAAUGUAAUAUAUGUUUUUUUUUUUUUUAAAUAAUAAUAAUUUACAAGCUUUUUUAUUUUUAUUUCUUAAAAAAAUUAUGGGCUUUUGUUGAUAAGAUUUGAGGAAAAACAAAAAGGGCCACACUACAUUGACUCUUCCAUGCCUACAGGCCACAACGAAGUCGACCACAAAGAUGACGCCAUCUUUUGGAAUUUUUACAGGACGGUUUUUCCACAUACACACCAACCCAAGCCCACCUUCACCCUAUAUAAACCCCCACCCAUUUCCUCACAGAUCACCCCACUCCAACCAUCAAGCCUAUCUUCCGAUCCUCAACAAUGGGCCUCUGCAAAAUCCUCUCCAUUUCCUCAUUCCUUCUCACCGCCCUAUUCUUCACCCCCAGCUAUGCAGCCACCUUCAACAUCCAAAACCAUUGCUCCUACACGGUUUGGGCUGCGGCAGUCCCAGGCGGGGGCAUGCAGCUUGGCUCAGGCCAAUCCUGGAGCCUCAAUGUGAAUGCCGGCACCACUGGAGGCCGUGUUUGGGCCCGUACCAACUGCAACUUCGAUGCAUCAGGGAAUGGGAAGUGUGAGACCGGGGACUGUGGUGGCCUCCUCCAAUGCACGGCCUAUGGUACACCCCCUAACACCUUAGCCGAAUUCGCACUUAACCAAUUCAGCAACUUGGACUUCUUUGAUAUAUCUUUGGUUGAUGGAUUUAAUGUGCCUAUGGCCUUUAAUCCUACUUCCAAUGGGUGCACCCGUGGCAUCAGUUGCACCGCCGACAUCGUGGGAGAGUGCCCCGCUGCGCUAAAGACUACCGGUGGUUGCAACAACCCAUGCACCGUUUUCAAGACCGAUGAAUAUUGUUGCAAUUCUGGGAGCUGUAGUGCUACAGAUUACUCAAGGUUUUUCAAGACUAGGUGCCCUGAUGCUUAUAGCUACCCUAAGGACGAUCAGACAAGCACCUUCACAUGCACUGCCGGUACCAAUUAUGAAGUUGUCUUCUGCCCAUAAAUCUAUUAUUUAAAUCAUAUGCUAGUAUGCCUCUACUAGUCUCAACUAUUAGGAGGCAAUGGUUUCCACCUUGGGUUCCAAAAGCCUAGAGGAAUAAAGUUGGGCACAUUUUCGUGGUCAUGUAACAAGAUUUCUACACUAGUAGAAGUAAUGGAUGUUUUUUUUUUUUAUAUAUAUAUAUAUAUAUAUAGAUUUAUGCGAUCUUCUUUCUUUCUAACCUCUAUGGUCCCGUCCAAGUAAUAUUUCAUAUAUAUUUUAUUCUAUAUAAUAUCUGCGGAUAAGAUCGGUUAAUGAAGCUUGACUAAAGUCAAAAUUUUAUUUUAUUUCAUUAUCCUACUUGGAAACUACCUUCCUUACUGGGUACAUGGCAUUUUUUUUUUAAUAAUAUUUGACUCAGGUUUCCGAGAAAACAUUGUAGCAGUCCAAACACGGCGUAAAUUGGGACUUUUCUCAAUAGUAGAGUAAUUUAAAAAAGUUAUUCUUCAAUUACUGUAGUGGAAGAAGUUAUUACAAAUAUAGGGUAGUUUUUGCCAGAUAGGAGAGAGGAGAGAGGAGAGAGGGUGAGAGAGAGGAGAGAGGAAAGAGGAGAUAGGAGAGAGGAGAGAGGAGAGAGGGUGAACGGGUAAAAUUUUUUAAAAAAGGGAACUCGUCUCUUGAAGAGACGAGUUCCAUGAAAAAAAAUAUAUAUAUAAUUUUUAAAAAAUUCUCAAAUUAAAAAAAAAAAAAUUGGAACUAAAGGCUUGACACGAGUUCCCAUGGGAAAAAUAUAUAUUAUUUAUUUAAAAUAUAUUUUUCAUUUAAAAAAAAUCCCAAAAAAAAUAAAAAAUAAAAUUUCUAAAAGGAACUCGUCUCUUUUUUAAAAAAAAUAUAUUUUUUAUUUUAAAAUCCCAAAUUUAAAAAAAAAAAACGCAAUUCCAAAAGGAACUCGUCUCUUUAAAAAUAUAUAUAUUUAAAAAAAAAAAUUCCUAAAGGGAACUCGUCUCUUGAAGAGACGAGUUCCCUUUAGGAAAAAAAAUAUUUUGUUUUUAAAAUAUAUUUUUUAUUUUAAAAAAUCCCAAAUAAAAAAAAAUAAAAAAUAAAAAACAAUUCCAAAGGGAACUCGUCUCUUCAAGAGACGAGUUCCCAUGUAAAAAAAAAUAUUUUUUUAAAAAAUAUAUAUAUUUAAAAAAAAAAAUUCAGAGUUACUUUAGGAAAAAAAAUAUUUUUUUUUUAAAAUAUAUUUUUUAUUUUAAAAAAUCCCAAAUUUAAAAAAAAAAAAACACAAUUCCAAAGGGAACUCGUCUCUUCAAGAGACGAGUUCCCAUGUAAAAAAAAUAUUUUUUUUAAAUAUAUAUAUUAAAAAAAAAAAAACAAUUCCUCAAAAUUCCUAAAGGAACUCGUCUNNNNNNNNNNNNNNNNNNNNNNNNNNNNNNNNNNNNNNNNNNNNNNNNNNNNNNNNNNNNNNNNNNNNNNNNNNNNNNNNNNNNNNNNNNNNNNNNNNNNAAAGGAACUCGUCUUUUGGAAGAGAACGAGUUCCCAUGUAAAAAAAAAAAAAAAUUUUAAAAAAAAUAUAUAUUUAAAAAAAUAAAAAUUCAGGGUUCCCUUUAGGAAAAAAAAUAAUUUUUUUUUAAAAAAAAUAUUUUUUUUUUUAAAAAAUCCCCAAUUAAAAAAAAAAAAAAAAAAAAAAAACCCAAUUCCAAAGGGAACUCGUCUCUUCAAGAGACGAGUUCCCUUGUAAAAAAAAUUAUUAUUUUUAAAUAUAUAUAUAUUAAAAAAAAAAAAAAAAAAAAACAAUUCCUCAAAAUUCCUAAAGGAACUCGUCUCUUCAAGAGACGAGUUCCCAUAUAAAAAAAAAAAUUAAAAAAAAAUAUAUAUUUAAAAAAAUAAAAAUUCAGAGUUCCCUUAGGAAAAAUAAUAAUUUUUUAAAAAAAUAUAUUUUUUAUUUUAAAAAAUCCCAAAUUAAAAAAAAAAAAAAAAAAAAAAAACACAAUUCCAAAGGGAACUCGUCUCUUAUUUUUUUUUUUUCCAUAGGAACUCGUCUCUUCAAUAGACGAGUUCCCUUGAUGAAUUGUUUUUUUUUUUUUUUUUUUUAAAUAUAUUUUUUUAAAAAAAAUUUGUUUUUACGUGGGAACUCAUCUUAAAGAGACGAGUUCCCUUGAGGAAUUGUUUUUUUAUUUUAUUUUAUAUUUUAUUUUAAUAUAUAUAUUUUAAAAUAAAAAAUAUUUUUAAGAGACGAGUUCCUUUGGAAUUGUGUUUUUUUUUUUUUUUUUUAAUUUGGGAUUUUUUAAAUUUUUUAAAAAAAUAAUUUUUUUUCCUAAAGGGAAUUCUGAAUUUUUAAUUUUUUAAAUAUAUAUAUUUAAAAAUUUUUUUUUUUUUAAAAAACAAAAAUUUUUUUUAAAAAAUAUAUAUAUUUAAAAAAAAAUUAUAUUUUUUNNNNNNNNNNNNNNNNNNNNNNNNNNNNNNNNNNNNNNNNNNNNNNNNNNNNNNNNNNNNNNNNNNNNNNNNNNNNNNNNNNNNNNNCGUCUCUUCAAGAGACGAGUUCCCUUUGGAAUUGUGUUUUUUUUUUUUUUUUUUCUUUUUUUUAAUUUGGGAUUUUUUAAAAUAAAAAAUAUUUUUUUUUUCCUAAAGGGAACUCUGAAUUUUUUUUUUAAAUAUAUAUAUAUUUUUUAAAAAAAUAUUUUUAAAAAAAAAAUAUUUUUUUUUGUUUUUUUUUUUUUAAUUUGGGAUUUUUUAAAAUAAAAAAUAUAUUUUAAAAAAAAAAUAUUUUUUUUCCUAAAGGGAACUCGUCUCUUCAAAAAACAAGUUACCUUUAGGAAUUUUUUUUUUAAAUAUAUAUAUUUUAAAAAAAAAAUAUUUUUUUUACAUGGGAACUCGUCUCUUCAAAAGACGAGUUCCUUUUGGAAUUGUGUUUUUUUUUUUUUUUUUUUUAAUUUAGGAUUUUUUAAAAUAAAAAAUAUAUUUUUAAAAAAAAUUAUUUUUUUUCCCAAGGAACUCGUCUCUUGAAGAGACGAGUUCCCUUUAGAAAUUUUUUUUUUUUUUUUUUGGAUUUUUUUAAAUAAAAAAUAUAUUUUAAAUAAAUAAUAUAUUUUUUUUCCCAGGGAACUCGUCUGAAGCCUUUAGUUCCAAAUUUUUUUUUUUAAUUUGAGAAUUUUUUAAAAAUUAUAUAUAUAUAUUUUUUCAUGGAACUCGUCUCUUCAAGAGACGAGUUCCCUUUUUUAAAAAAUUUUACCCGUUCAUCCUCUCUCCUCUCUCCUAUCUCCUCUUUCCUCUCUCCUCUCUCCUCUCUCUCACCCUCUCUCCUCUCUCCUCUCUCCUCUCUCCUAUGUGGCAAAAACUACCCUAUAUUUGUAAUAACUUCUUCCACUACAGUAAUUGAAGAAUAACUUUUUUAAAUUACUCUACUAUUGAGAAAAGUCCGCGUAAAUUGUCAUAGCCCUUUAUUGCAGAGAAUAGUGGAAAAGAAAGUUGUUAAAAGUGGCAUAAGUAAUUCAAACCAUAACCCUAUAUUGAGGAGAGUUAUGACUUAUGACACAUAAAUAUUGAAGUUCCACUUGUCUAUCAAUUAAAUAAAUAUAUGUUUUAAUUUAUUUUUGUAAAAAAAAUCAAUAAGAUUUUUAAUAUUUAUUUUACUAAUUUUAUUUAAAGAACUUAUGAUUUAAAAACGAGUUUAAUAUGAUUUAGAUAAGAAAUAUUUUAAUAUUUAAUAUAAAUUUUAUAAUACUAAUAUUACCUAUUAAAAAUUAAGAUUUUGGUUGCACCAUCAACAUUUAGUUAAAUCUAAAAAUAAAAAACUAUUUCAAACAAAGCUUUAUUUAUUCAUCUAUCAUGCUAAUGGAGCCUCAGAAGUUAAAAAGAUUAACUGGGCCAUGGUUAUAGAAGCCCAAAAGAUUUAUUGAUGGGGCGGAGCAGGUGGGCCUGGCCUGCCAUGUGCAGCUGUAUUUUUUUGACUUGUCUUCAAGACAACAAGUCAACGCCUCCGUUCAAUGAAGCGGAUGUAUCGGAAAAACCCAAAAGCUUCAUUUUCCCCUCAAAACGCGUAAACCCCAAAAUGAGCUUCUUCUGCAACUGCAGCAACCUCUCUACUUCCUUCUGCCUCCUCAUCCUCCCGUUCUUCUUCACCUUCAUCCAUGCAACCACUUUCGAAAUCCAAAACAGCUGCCCCUACACCAUCUGGGCAGCCGCCGUACCCGGCGGCGGAAGGCAACUCGACCAAGGCCAGACCUGGAACCUUUCAGUGAGCUCCAACAUAACGGGCCGCAUCUGGGGCAGAACCAAGUGCAGCUUCGAUGAAGCCGGAAGGGGGAGCUGCGAGUCCGGUGGAUGUGGAGGCCUCCUUGAAUGCCAAGAAUAUGGUUCACCGCCCAACACCAUUGCCGAGUACACCCUAAACCAAUCCAACAAAACUGAUUUAUUCGAUGUUUCUCUGGUGGAUGGAUUCAACCUUCCAAUGGAGUUUAGCCCAACUUCUGAUGGGUGCAGAGGGGCCAAUUGUACAGGCGACAUUAACGGGCCGUGCCCAAAUGAGUUGAGGGACCCGGGUGGGUGUAACAACCCAUGUACCGUUUUCAAAAAUUCUCAGUACUGUUGCGAUUCCGGGAGCUGUGGCCCUACAACUUACUCCGAGUUUUUCAAGGAUAGGUGCCCAAAUGCAUACAGUUACCCUGAGGAUGAUUCAACCAGUUUGUUUACGUGCUCCACUGGCUCUAACUAUCGUGUAGUCUUCUGCCCUUGAAUUAUGGGUUGCUAUUAAUUGUUUGAAGUAUUUUCUGAAUUGCCGUGUAAUUUUAUGCUAUGAGGGUAUUUCUUCCUAAGUUUUGUUGGAUGAUCCGUUGAAAUAAAUACUCGAUAACUUCUGUAUUAUUUUAAAAAGUAAUGUAUCAAUAUGCCCAUUUUUAAAAGCUAUAGUGUUAUAAAUUUCAAACUCUUUAAAAUUUUGAGAGAUGAUACUAAGAACUAGCAUACUUUUGUAAAAGAAGUCAUAAAAGGAGAGUCAUCUAAAAAUUUUAAACUUUUAAAAUUUUUCACUAAAACCAAUGUCUCUCUCCGCUUGUUGACUCGUCUGGAAGUCAAGUCCAACGACCCCAUAGCCGUCAACCGAAACCGUUCAUGAAAAAUCUGAUCACCUUCCUCGCCAAAAUGCCAAAAUCCCAAGAUGACUUUCUUCAGCAGCUGCAACAACCUCUCCACUUCCUUCUUCCUCCUCAUCACCACUCUCUUCUUCACCUUCCUCCACGCUUCCGCGCUUCCACCUUCCACAUCCAAAACAACUGCCACUUCACCCUGUGGGCCGCGCACGGCCGUUCCCCGCGGCGGAACGCAACUCUGAUGGGUGGGCCAAAAAAUUCCCAAAUUAUUGGGAGUGGGCCUUUAUAAGUCCCAAAUUGCUAGGGGUGGGCCAAUGGGUAGUGAUGAUGUCAUAGUGCUCUAGCCCAAUUUUUUUUUAAAAUAAACAAAUAAAGGAUUGUAAUCAGUUUAAAAUGUUGAUAUACGGACAAAAAUUGAACAUUCAGACUAAUAAAAGUUAAUAAAUCCCAUACCAAUUGUUACUAAAUUUAAAAUCUAUUUAUCUAAUGAAAAAAUUUAGAGAAGUUAAAAAACUUUAACAAAAAUAGGUAUAAUUCCAAUAGAGAUUAUAUUUGACAAUUUUUCAUACUAGUUCAUGGACAGAUAAUGAAAGAAAAGUUGAAUCAUAUUUUGUUUAAUUUACUCUUCUUUUUUUUUAAUAUUUUUAAAAUUAUAUAUAUUUUUCAUUUCUCCGUAUUUUCCCUUUUUUCUCUAAAAAAAUAUGUGAAUAUAACUUUGUUCAUUUACAAUUAAUAAUGUCUUUUUCCGCUAGUUUUCUCCAAGUGAACGAUAAAUGUACUUGCAACAAAGUGUGUUCAAAUUAUUUUUUCGGGUAUUUUUUUUGAAGCUUAAGUUCAUUUUUAGAAGAAAUAGAUAAUAGUUUUAUUAUAAUAGAGUUGUAAUGUUUUAUGUAUUUUUUUAAUACUUUAAACGUCUGUAAUUGACCUUGAAAAUAACAGUUUUUGAGCUUAUAGUAAGACGUUUAUACUUGUGGAGGCAUCCGAUCUAAUGAUUUGAAAUAUUUAUUAUUUGCGCAGUGAAUAAAGACGUUGAUAGGAUAUCCUUUUAUCAUUUUAAUAUUUCGACGGAGAGAGGCUUUUAUCCAGAUGGAUGUAGGACCCACAGACUUCUCAUUAAUUUUUGAUAAUUAUUUUAUAUUUUAUUUUAUUUUUAAAAAAUUGUUUUCAAAUGACAUCGUCAAAUAGGCUGUUCGUAAUCAUCACUUCCAAUGCAACAUCUUUCGUUGAAUGGAAACUCAGAAAAUCUAAAGUAUCAUCGUAAAAUUCAUGAGGAAUAUGCCAGAAGAUGACCGUUUCAAACCUUUUAUAAUAUUAUUAUAUUUUCUGUAUUUUCUUUCCGCAAAUUUUCCUGAACUAAACACGAGUGAUAAACUACACCUUGAUUUGCGGGGAAAAUCCAUUGGCUAGAGAUUGACUGAAAGCCAAAACUUAGGCUUCGUUGCAAGACAUUUUGGCAGCCAACGACUCAGGCAAACACCGUAAAAGUCUAAAGAGACGCUGUCCGCCCAAACAAUCCACAAAUCUCUUAUCUUUUUAUCAUCUAAUACUCGGAUUCUAGAAAAGUCUACUGUAUCUCUUAGGUUAUAUUUAGUUUCGAAAAAUACAAAAGAAAGAAAAAAAAUAUUAAAAAAAAUAAUUUUUUCAUAUUCGAUUGUCUUAUAAAUUAUUUUAAAAAAAAUUAAAUAUGAUUAAAAUUAAUUAAAAAUUUAUGGAUUUUAAAAUUAUUUAAUCUUUAUAUUGAUGAGUUAAAAUAAAUAAAAAUAAUUUUUCAUCUUUUAACUCUAUUUUUUAUUUUUCUUCAUUUUUUUCUUUUAUUUUUUUUCUUUUUUUUCUUUUUCUUUUUUAUAUAUAUUUUCCCUUAAAUUUUAUGAGAACCACAUAUAAUCUUAAAAUUUUAAUAAUUUUAAUUUAUCAUUCUAAUCAUUCUAGAAAAUUUCAUCAUUAAAAAAUGUAAGAAAAAAAAAUUAGGGUGAAUAAAUUAUUUUUAUAUAUUAUUUUAAACUUAUUUUAUUUAUUUUAAAUUUUAAUAUAAAAAUUGUAUGAGCUUGUAAUUAAAUUUAUUUUAUUAAUUUUUUUUUAUAAUAUAGUCAAACAUAUAUAAAAAAAAAUCAAUUUUAUUAACAAUUUUUUUCUUUUCUUCAUUGAUUUGCUCCUGACGCCAUUUCAUCUAGAAUGGCAUAGAUAAUUUAAAGCAACAGUCAAAGGUCAUCCAAAAAAUUGAACAUGAUAGGUUGUUCAAAUGCAAGUUUACCGGUUCCCCGGAUUCUUCUAAGUUCUGGCAGCUUGACUUCACUUCCGCAUUCUGCAUUGGAGAUGUCACAGAUGUAUGGCCAUGAUUAAUGCCGUUCUCUUCAGUCAUUCCUAUGUGUGUGGACGCGUGAUGAAUUGGAAUCUAAGCAGGAAAGAUGCACGCUCCAUUCAAGUCACGUUUUCUCGUGGGAGGAUUGUCUUGAUUUUAUUAUGCGUGUAUUCUCCUGACUCUACCAUGGCCACUUGGCUUGCCAAGUCUAGAGUAAAGCCAUGAGUGGACAAUUCCAUUUCUUUCUUCAUCUUUUUCCACGGAAUCAAGUCCAACAAAAUGCUGAAAUUUCUAUUCGAAUUAACCCACUUCUCACGUAAUCUCCCAAACCAUUGCCACCAUUCAUCUAUAAAAACCCUACCAUACAUGCAUCUCCAAAACAUCAAUUAACCCAAACCCAUGUUAGUGCUCUGUCUUGGCUUGCCCUGUUUAAGAACAUUCUCUUUUAUAUAUAUUGUUAUACAACUUUCUACGUGAUAUGUUCUCAUUGGUUUAAUGUAUUACUAAAAAAUGUUCUUCAGGAUUUUGGAUGAGGUUGUGUUUGCAUUAACAUGAUCACUUUCAAAUUAUUUUUUGUAGGCAUGGUUCGUGCAGCUAUCAAGUACAAAUAGUUUGUGUAACUGGAUGUUGAUCGUCAUCUUCAUUGUGGUUACUUUUAAUAUCACUUUGUCUAAAUUAUUCUAAGACUAAACAUGAAAGUUCAAUAUCAUUUUGUUUAAAAUAGUAUAAGAAGGAACAUUGAAUAUGCAAAACAUUCAUACGAAGGACAAUCCGAUAGAUGCCUUAAUAAAAUCAAUUAACACUGAUAAAUUCAAUUAGUGCAAAUCCUCUUUUGAUUUCACAAUAACAUAAGCAACAUAUGAUAGGGUAAAACUUAGAAAUAUGAUUUCAAGUGAAAUAAUAUUAACGUUAAAGUCAUCUCACAUAAGAAAAAAAAAGAAAAAAAAAAGAGCUUCUUUAUGCUAUCUGAGGGGCAUCCAUCCUUGAUAUUCUUCAUCCUAAAAAAAACUUUUAUUUUUUUGCAAGUUUUUAUGUUAUCUCCUCUAAAUCGUAAAAAGAGAGGUUACAAUUUUGUAUUUAUAUGAUGAAUAUUUUUUAGUUUUGUUCUUUGGGUUUCCUUCAUAAUUAAAAGGGUUUAAUAUGUAAGUAUUUUUAAUUAUUUUAUUUAUUCUAUUACAUUAUUAUUUUAUUAUUCUAUUUUUAAAUUAUGGGAGCAUCAUUUCAAAACACUACCUUUAAAAAAAUAAAUAAAAAUAUAGUUUUUUAUAUUUGAGAUUUUAAACAAAAUUUUAUUUAUAAAAAUAAUUAAAAUUACGUUUUGCCUAACAUGCGUACGUUGUAGUCAUCCGCGGAGUUGGUUCGAGAGGACAUUGGAAAAUCACACAAAGUGAUCAUGUGCCUUUAAUUGGAAAAUAAACAGUGGAUUUUCUCUUCUCUAGAAUUGGUUGCUUCUCAGAUAAAGGUCAAAAUUCAAUUAUGAUAUUAUGGAAAAUAGUCCCAGUCGAACCAAUUUUCAAGGCAUUUGAAGUGGCCAUUCAUUCAAGAAAGGAAGUUUGAAAUAAAUUUUUCCAACGCAACGCGGCACGCACCCGGCCAUGUUUUCAAGAUGCCUUCCUACCUGUCCUCAGAAUUCAGUAUUCAUGAAUUUCCAUAAAAGUUAGACAGGUUUCUGAAAAUAAUAAAAAUGAUAAUGAUGUGGACCCCUUGAAAUAAAUUCAGUAUUCAUGAAUGGGCAAUUCUGGUUCUUUCAUCAUCUUUUUAUCUGUAAUCAAUCAUCCAAUCAAGUCCAACAAAAUGCUGAAAUUUCCAUUCGAAUUAACCCACUUCUCACGUAAUCUCCCAAACCAUAGCCACCCUUCAUCUAUAAAAACCCCACCAUACAUCCAUCUCCAAGACACCGCAUUAGCCCAAACCCAUAAGAAUUCUAAAUACUUCGAUUCUGAUCAUCUGAUUCAUUCAACAUCAAAAUGCGCUUCACCACCACCCUCCCAAUUCUCUUCCCUCUCCUCCUCAGCCUCCUCUUUACCUCCACCCAUGCAGCCACCUUCGACAUCCUCAACAAAUGCACCUACACCGUCUGGGCAGCCGCCUCCCCCGGUGGUGGACGGAGACUUGACUCCGGCCAGUCCUGGACAAUCACCGUCAACCCCGGCACCACCAAUGCUCGCAUCUGGGGCCGAACCUCAUGCACCUUCGACGCCAAUGGGCGUGGCAAAUGCGAAACUGGUGACUGCAAUGGCCUCCUCGAAUGCCAGGGCUACGGUUCUCCCCCAAACACCCUCGCUGAAUUCGCUCUAAACCAGCCCAAUAACCUCGACUACAUCGACAUCUCCCUUGUCGAUGGCUUCAACAUCCCCAUGGACUUCAGCGGCUGCCGCGGCAUCCAGUGCUCCGUUGACAUCAAUGGGCAAUGCCCCAGUGAGUUGAAGGCCCCCGGUGGAUGCAACAACCCGUGUACAGUGUUCAAGACCAAUGAGUAUUGUUGCACUGAUGGACCUGGAAGCUGUGGUCCGACCACAUACUCCAAAUUCUUCAAGGACAGGUGCCCAGAUGCUUAUAGCUACCCUCAGGAUGACAAAACCAGCUUGUUCACCUGUCCUUCUGGUACCAACUACAAGGUCACGUUUUGCCCUUGAAAGUUGGAACUCAUUUUCCUUCACUUUCUUGGUGAAUGAAAAGAGUACAAGACACCCAGGAAAGUUUUAGUUUUCAGCGUAGAGAAGAAUAAAUUUGUGCACGUAAUGAUAGUAUUGUGCGCAUGUGAUGUGAUAAUCAGUCUGUAAUGUGAUUCCAGUGAAAAAUAAAUGAAGAAGCCUACUUACUCAUUUUCACCUUGGAUGAAACUUGUCAACCUAUUUAACUUCUUUAACAAAAACAUAGUUUUUGGGUUCAACCUCCAUAAUACAAAACCCUUCAUUAUUUUUUGGCCUCAUUCAUUUAUUUAUUUAUUUAUAAAAAUAACUCUUUCUUUUAAAACACACAUAUAAAUACUUGAAAUAGUUAAGGACAUUUAUGUUAAAAAUUGAUUACUCUUCAAACAAAAACAUGGAAGAGGUUAAAUUCAUAAAUAUGAAGACUAUUUCAUCCCUUUUAACUAAUUAAUUCUUAAAUGAAUUACAUAAUAUAUUACUUGUUUAAUAAUUUGAUAAUAUUUGAAUUUAUAUUUUUAAUACGAUUAUUAUUUGUAUCAGAUUUAGAUUAACUUAUAUAAUAGAAAGCUUAGGCUUUAACACUAUACUAAUAUAACCAUCUUACACAAAUUGCCACCCCAUUUGUUGUUGGGACUGGUUGGAGGAACACACCUAACCCAGCCCACCAAAUUUGCAACUGGAUGGCUUGAAAUUUAGGCCCAUGAUGUCGGCCCAAUUUAUAUUAAUGAGCCCAAACCCAUCAGCAUACACUUUAUGAAGGACAUGAAAUCCAAAUAGGCUGAUAUGAAACGAACCCCUAUAAAGAAAAAGCCAGCAAAUCCCAAACUGAAAUUCAGAAUUGAAUAUGUGAGAAUCUUUCAAUUUCCAACAACACCCGACAGCGGCCCAUACUGAUAUAGGCUGUCUUCAAGCAGAAUAUUUUUUUUUUUACUACUAGAUCUGAAACAAGUAGUGGAAGCCCGAACAGGCCCAAUAGAUUCCUUCGACACCCGACAAUAAUCUACGAAUCAAACAGGUUUCUAAUUUGAGUACAGAUCUAAUAAACUAAUUAAUAAUUCUUUUUUCUUUUCUGUAAAAUAAAAAAGGACUUUUGAGCUUGAAUUUUUUUUCAGAUUAAAUCUAAGCGGUCAAUAAUAUUUCAAAGAAAUGUUUUUUUUAAUAAUAAAGAUUAAUUUACUAGUUUAGGGAUAGUAAAUAAACUAUAUUUAUUGAAGCCCGAUCCAAGCUUCAGUGACAAGGGUGAUAAAACAAUACUUUUAUAAAUCUAGAGAGUAAUCAUGAAUACCUCUAAAAUCAUAAUAAAAUCAAUUUAAAAUUAUUAUUUAGAUUUUAUAUUUUAAAAAAGAGUUAAAUUUCUUAUAAAUUAAUAAAGCUUAGUUUCAAGGACAAGUGUUAGGAGACCAUGUGUGAUAAAAAUAAAAAUAAAAACCCCAAAUGGGAAUAAGAUUUUUAAUAUUUUUUAAAUGUUCUCAUAAAAUUAUUAUGAAAAUCGUAAUUAUUGGAUCUUUGAUAGUCGUAUUUGAGAGGCUAAAUUAAAUCUUUUAUAAUAUUCAAUUAUUAUUGUUUGAAUGAUUUAUCCAUUUUAUUUAAAAGUAGUAUAUUGUUACACCCUAAUAAUAAUUAUAAAAAUUAUUUAAUAUUUUUAAUAAUUAAGAAAUUAUUUUCAAUUUUAUAAUAAUUUGUGAAGUUUUAAUUGAAAAAAAACAUUUUUAAUUAGAUUUAUCCGAUUUGAAAGUAAAUUUUAAGAGAAUUUCUAAAUUUUGUAUUUGAAUCGGAAGUUAUUAAACUUCUCACCAAUUAACAUAAAUUUAAAAGUAAUUUUUUAACUAUCAUGUUUUAUAAAUCUUUGUGUAAAAGUUUUCCAAUCAAACUUUUUGACUUUAGACCUGCGUGGGAUUGAAAGAUGUCCCACACACACCACGCGGCAUCAAACUCCUUGAUAUUAAUCUUGAUCUUAUCCUCGCCAAAUAGGAGGCCAUGAUUCCAUAUUUCCAUUACACUCUGUCACGGACCACGGCCACCUUCCCAAAUCCCCAGAUCAACAAAAACCAGCACUCCAUGCCUCGGUACCUGGGCACAAAAAGUCAAAGUAGCCGCCUCCAUAAAAUAAGUGGGACACUGAUCGACACAUGGCAUCCUGGCCUGGACUGCAGAGCAGAGGAUCAUCCCCAAACUUUUAUCCUCACGAGGAGCCGCCUGUACUUUAAUGAGAAAAGUAGAGACGUGCCUUUAUUUGCACCAAGCCAAAACGCAGCGUUUCCUCUAUAUAAACCCCCUGGUGUCAUUGAUGAGGCACAAGCCAAAAUACACCACACCUGACAUCUAUACUCCGAUUGUCAGCUCCAAGCUUCCCAGUAUGAGCGACUUGCGCAUCCUCUUUAUCUUCUUCCUCUGCUUCAUCUCCUCCAUCCAUGCAGCCACCUUCCAAAUCACCAACCAGUGUUCUUACACCGUCUGGGCAGCUGCCUCUCCCGGUGGCGGCCGCCGCCUGGACCGCGGCCAAAGCUGGACCCUCAACGUGCCCGCUGGCACCAAAAUGGCCCGAAUCUGGGGUCGAACCAACUGCCACUUCGAUGCCAGUGGUCGUGGCCGGUGCGAUACCGGUGACUGUGGCGGCGUCCUGAACUGUCAAGGCUGGGGUUCUCCACCAAACACACUAGCAGAAUACGCCUUGAACCAGUUUGGUAACAAGGAUUUUUUCGAUAUAUCUCUCGUUGAUGGGUUCAACAUCCCUAUGGACUUCAGCCCCACCAGCCGCGGGUGCCGUGGAAUCAAGUGCACGGCGAAUAUCAACGGGCAAUGCCCGCAGGCGUUGAAAGCUCCGGGAGGGUGCAAUAACCCGUGUACCGUGUUCAAGACUCCGCAGUACUGCUGCAACAAUAUUAAAUGUGGACCGACAGAUUAUUCGAGAUUUUUCAAGACCAGGUGCCCAGAUGCGUACAGUUAUCCUCAGGAUGAUCCCACAAGCACAUUUACAUGCCCUGGUGGAACCAACUAUAGGGUUGUGUUCUGCCCUAGAGGCUCUUCCAACAAUAUUUUUCCUCUGGAGAUGUAUGGAAGUGAUAGUGAGGAGUAAAGGGUCUUCAAAAUCCGAGUGAAAUAAGGCAUGUAUGUGAGCC
rnacentral:lncRNA from 1 species